UUUAUACCGAACGCGGAUGUAUCUGAAUUUCGAACCCGAAAGGAAUUUCUCACCCGUUUAGCGAACUCUCUGCAGAGCCAAACCCUAAUUCUUGCAAACCCAAUUCAAUUCCAGCCAACAUGACCAGUGAUUCCAGUGACCCUGCUCGUCGCAAGCACCACCGUUCCUCUCAUUCCGAUGUCGAAACUGACGAGCCUUCGAAGCGUCGUAAGCACGGUCACCACCACCACCACCACCGGCGUCGCCACCAUCGCCACCACGGAAAGAAGCACGAAGAGAUUGAUUCGAAACUCGAAACGGAGGUUAAGGAGGCUGAGGUUGAAACUGAGGGCGGAAAGGAGGUCCUUGGAAGCGGAGCAGUGGGUGUGGCUAUGAGCAGUUCGAAUUUGGGGAUCGAUUAUGAUAUGGAGGAAGGAGAGAUUAUUGAGGACGAUGUUCCACCUACUUCUGCUGCUUAUGAUGUUGCUGAAGAUAUUGAGAACAAGAAAUUGAGCUCGGACAUGGACCAUCAUGAAGCUCAUGCUGAAGGGCCUAAUUUUGGUAUGCCCAUUGAAAAGAAAGUGGAAGAAGCUGACAGAAGUAAGAAUCAUGAGGGGUUGAGUUGGGAAGGAAUUUUUAGUGAAAAAUAUCUUGCCAAUGGGAACUUAGUCGGUGAGCGCCACAAACAUGAGGGAAAAUGUUCUCCUAUUGAAGAAAGUAGGACACAGAAGCAUUACUAUGGUGAUAGAAAUGAUUUAAAGGACAGGAAAAGAUCUUUGACACCUGACAAUGCUGGGAAGAGACGCAAGACUGCCAAGGUUGCAUUACCUCGUGAUGGAUAUGAAGAUGAGGGUCCUUAUGGGAAGGAUUCAAAGUCACCUGAUCGGUCUAGAGGAUUGCCACAAUCUCAAAGCACUUCUGAGGAGGUUUCUAUUUCAGAAGUGUUUCAUAAGCCAGAGGGUGUAUUUUAUAAGGAUAGGAAAUAUAAGGGUGAUAAGGAUUAUGAAAGAGUGACUGGACUCAUCAGAGACUAUUGCCAUGGCAGCCAAGGUUUUUUGAAGGAAAAAGAAAGAGAGCGCAGUUCUAGUCGUAGCAGAUAUAGUAGCCAAGAUGACAGGUUUCAUAGUCAUGAGACUGCUGAAAGGUAUAGGGAAGGAAGCCGAGAGAUUGAUAGGGAUCGAACAAAAAAUAGAGACAGGGAGAGGGGAAGGACACAAGGAAAUGAAGGAGACAGAGUAACUGAGAGAAAUAGGGAAAGGGAGAGGGUAAGGCAAAAGGAAAUGGAAAGAGGUAGAGCUCAUGAGAGGGGGAGGGUAAGGGAAAAGGAAAUAGAAGAAGAUAGAGCUCAUGAGAGGGAGAGGGUAAGGGAAAAGGAAAUAGAAAGAGAUAGAGCUCGUGAGAGAGAGAGGGAGAGGGAAAGGGAUAAUUAUAGGGACAGGCAAUGGGAUAAUGACCGCAAGAGGGAGAGGGAGAGUAGGUGGGAAAGUGAUAGGGAAAGCAGCAGAGGUAGAAGUAGGGACAAAGAGAGGGACAAGGAGACUGAUAGAUACCGCAGGACCAAUAAAUAUGAUGAUCUUGGUAGUAGCUAUGGUGAUCGAGAUAAGUAUAGUGCUUCCAGGCGCAUAAAGGAUGAUGGGACUGGCCACAGAGAGAAGAAAAAUGAUCCAGUAAUAAAGAUUUCUGACCAAAAACUUCAUGAAAUUGAAACUGAUAUAUCUAAAAGAGAUGAGGAUGAACAGGACUAUCAGGAAGAGAUUUCAUUUCAACUUGCUGAACACGAAGAAGAGGAAGAACUAGACAGGAUUAAGGAGGAGAGUAGGAAGCGCAAGCUAGCCAUACUUGAAAAGUAUAAGAAUCUACAGUUGCAUCCUAAAACUCAAUUGGAAGACACUGCUAAGGAGGUAAUUGAGCAUUCUUCUGAGCUUGAAGUUGGUGGAAACCAUAUGCCAGAAGCUGUUGAUGGCAGAGCUGAAGGUGGAGAAAGCCGUUCUGGUGACAAAGUAAUUUCUGUUGGGAAAUCACCUAACCAAGAAGGGUUUGCUACAAAUGAUCAGAAUUCUGGAGCUGGUGGUUUGGGACAGGGCACUCCGAAGAGUGAGAGAUCAAAUGACAUGUUCUGUGAUGACAUAUUUGGAGAAUCACCUGCAGUACAUAAAACUGGUAAAGGAGAUGGUUUGAUGAUUGAGCGUAAUGGCCUGCAUGAUAACUGGGAUGAUGCAGAAGGCUAUUAUAGUUACCGUUUUGGAGAAGUACUUGAUGGCCGAUAUGAAAUUAUUGCUUCACAUGGAAAAGGUGUGUUCUCCACAGUUGUCCGUGCUAGAGAUCUCAAAGCUAAACCUGGUGACCCUGAAGAGGUUGCGAUUAAAAUGAUACGUAAUAAUGACACAAUGUAUAAGGCAGGUAUGGAAGAGUUGGUGAUAUUGAAGAAGUUGGUUGGUGCAGAUCCUGAAGACCGGCGCCACUGUGUUCGUUUUCUUUCUAGCUUCAAGUACCGGAAUCAUCUGUGCUUGGUUUUUGAGUCUCUUCAUAUGAAUCUACGUGAGGUUUUAAAGAAGUUUGGCCGUAAUAUUGGACUAAAACUUACUGCUGUGAGGACAUAUGCAAAACAACUAUUCAUUUCUUUGAAACAUUUAAAGAACUGUGGUGUUCUUCACUCUGAUAUUAAACCAGAUAACAUGCUGGUGAAUGAAGCAAAAAAUGUGCUGAAGCUUUGUGAUUUUGGUAAUGCCAUGUUUGCGGGGAAGAAUGAUAUCACUCCAUACCUUGUGAGCCGUUUUUAUCGUGCUCCAGAGAUAAUUUUGGGCUUGCCCUAUGACCAUCCAAUUGAUAUGUGGUCAGUUGGUUGCUGUAUAUUUGAACUUUACACUGGGAAAGUUCUUUUUCCUGGCCCUACGAACAAUGACAUGCUUCGUCUUCAUAUGGAGUUGAAAGGUCCAUUUCCAAAAAAGAUGCUUCGAAAGGGAGCAUUUACUGACCAACAUUUUGAUCAAGAUCUCAAUUUUUAUGCCACUGAAGAGGACCCUGUUACAAAGAAGGCGAUACGGAAGUUGAUUGUUAAUAUCAGACCAAGAGAUAUUGGUGCAAUAAUUUCAGGUUCUCCUGGUGAGGAUCCGAAGAUGUUAACACAUUUUAAAGAUCUUCUUGACAGAAUUUUUGUGCUAGAUCCAGAUAAGAGACUCACAGUUUCUCAGGCAUUAAGUCAUCCAUUCAUCACGGAGAAGAUAUCUGAUUGGGGAGAGGCCUCUUUCUUGGCAGUUCUUUCGGUGGAAUAUUUUCUGUUUCUAUUGAUAUCUAUCAGGAUUAUGAGGCAACCAUUCAGUGCUUUAGAUGCUUAAAAGGCACACUGGAGAAGAGCAAUGUAUGACAGGAGAUGCUCAGAUGCAGCCUUGAUAUUGUGAAGUGGAGGUAUUGCUCCAUGCUUCUGCAAUUAUAGUAAGUACUCCUAAUGACAUUUCUACUAAAUACUUUCUGAUGAUAAACUGUCUGGUCGUUCAUAUUGCUGCUGUUUAUAGUUAUGAGCAGUAAUGAUGAAGCAUCAUCAUCUGCUUUAUAAAUUUCUUGAAAUCAGGAAUUAGGUAAAGCAAUUAUCAUACUAUUGUUGCAUUAGAAUGUUCUUGUUUCUGUUAUCAUAAUAUCAGCUCUAUUCUAAAUUCUGAUGGAAUGACCUAAAAAUGAGGCCCAUAUUAUUGUGAGGUUUGUAUCCUGAUCAUAUCCAUCUAUCUCGGAGUCAAUGCAUGGUGUUGC